rnacentral:rRNA from 1 species
CACGUAGUUAGCUGUGGCUUUCUGAUUAGGUACCGUCAAGACGUGCACAGUUACUUACACAUUUGUUCUUCCCUAAUAACAGAGUUUUACGAUCCGAAGACCUUCAUCACUCACGCGGCGUUGCUCCGUCAGGCUUUCGCCCAUUGCGGAAGAUUCCCUACUGCUGCCUCCCGUAGGAGUCUGGACCGUGUCUCAGUUCCAGUGUGGCCGAUCACCCUCUCAGGUCGGCUACGUAUCGUUGCCUUGGUAAGCCAUUACCCCACCAACUAGCUAAUACGGCGCGGGUCCAUCUAUAAGUGAUAGUAAAACCAUCUUUCACUUUAGAACCAUGCGGUUCUAAAUAUUAUCCGGCAUUAGCCCCGGUUUCCCGGAGUUAUUCCAGUCUUAUAGGUAGGUUACCCACGUGUUACUCACCCGUCCGCCGCUAACGUCAAAGGAGCAAGCUCCUUAUCUGUUCGCUCGACUUGCAUGUAUUGGCACGCCGCAGCGUUCAUCCUGAGCCAGGAUCAAACUCU